CUACGGAGGGUGCAAGCGUUAUUCGGAAUCACUGGGCGUAAAGGACGCGUAGGCGGGUUGGCAAGUCAGAUGUGAAAUCCUACAGCUUAACUGUAGAACUGCAUUUGAAACUGCUAACCUAGAGUAUGUGAGGGGGAGAUGGAAUUAGUGGUGUAGGGAUAAAAUCCGUAGAUAUCACUAGGAAUACCGAAAGCGAAGGCGAUCUCCUGGAACAUAACUGACGCUAAGGCGUGAAAGCGUGGGGAGCAAACAGCAUUAGAUACCCUAGUAGUCC
rnacentral:rRNA from 1 species